UACGGAGGGUGUUAGCGUUGUUCGGAUUUACUGGGCGUAAAGCGCGCGUAGGCGGUUUAGCAAGUUGGAAGUGAAAGCCCAAAGCUCAACUUUGGAAUUGCUUUCAAAACUAUUAAACUAGAGUAUGGUAGGGGAUAGUGGAAUUCCUAGUGUAGAGGUGAAAUUCGUAGAUAUUAGGAGGAACACCAGAGGCGAAAGCGACUAUCUGGGCCAUUACUGACGCUAAGGCGCGAAAGCGUGGGGAGCAAACAGG
rnacentral:rRNA from 1 species